AACGUCCAUAACACGUUGAAACACCGGUUCUCGUCGGAUCAGCGAAGUCAAGCAACAUUGAGCCUGGUUAGUACCUUGAUGGGUGACCGUUUGGAAAUACCAGGUGCU